rnacentral:rRNA from 1 species
GAUGAACGCUAGCUAUAGGCUUAACACAUGCAAGUCGAGGGGAAACGGCAUUAUGUGCUUGCACAUUUUGGACGUCGACCGGCGCACGGGUGAGUAUCGCGUAUCCAACCUGCCCUUUACUUGGGGAUACCCCGUUGAAAGACGGCCUAAUACCCGAUGUAAUUCAUUGAUGGCAUCAGAUAUGAAUAAAAGAUUUAUCGGUAAAGGUUGGGGAUGCGUCUGAUUAGCUUGUUGGUGAGGUAACGGCUCACCAAGGCGACGAUCAGUAGGGGUUCUGAGAGGAAGGUCCCCCACAUUGGAACUGAGACACGGUCCAAACUCCUACGGGAGGCAGCAGUGAGGAAUAUUGGUCAAUGGGCGCAAGCCUGAACCAGCCAAGUAGCGUGCAGGAAGACGGCCCUAUGGGUUGUAAACUGCUUUUAUACGAGAAUAAUUUGAUGCACGUGUGCGUUAUUGCAUGUAUCGUAUGAAUAAGGACCGGCUAAUUCCGUG